AACAGUAGGUAUGUAAUAUUACUAAAAUUCGCGGGUAGUAGUCACAUCUCUGGUAGUUCUACGUACUUCUAACCUAAUAGAAAUCAAACCCAAAAUUUUUUCGUUUUGUAGUUUAUAAGUGUUAAUAUGAAUAGAAAGAAGACUAGCAAGUCUCAGUUUAAAAUAUAUUUAUCAUAUUUAAAGAGGCAUGAUAUAUUAAUAACAGGAAAGUUGACUCCAUCCACAAACACGGAGGGCCUAAAACAAAUUUGGAAUGAAAUGGUCGCCAAUCUUAAUAGUUGUGGGGAUGGUCCUGUGAGGAAUAUAGAGGGAUGGAAAAAGGUAUUUCGAGAAUGGAAAUGUAUUAUUAGAAAAAAAGCGAGAGAAGGAAAAGAGUUAAACGAAAUUGAGCACGAACUAAUUCGAUUAACGGGCGAAAUUGCUGUUACCGGAUUAGAUCAUGUUGAAUUGGGCAUUACUGAGGGCAUUAGCAAUGAAGGUGAAACUGCAGAAGCUUCUCCAGAUGUCGAUUUCGACAUUGAAAAUUUAGAGGUAGUGCAAGAGGAUGAAGAGCGAUUAUCUGAUGAAAAUCUACAGCCCACAUUACAUAAAGAAAAUGCAAAUGCUGCUCUGCCGUCUACCUCUCAAAAAAAACGUAAAAAAUGUACGGAAAAUCCCUUACUGAAAGCCUAUGUGAAUGCGCAAGAUGAAGCAAGAGAUGGCAUGACAGAUAUUGCAAAUGCUUUAAAUAAUAUAGCAGCAUCAAUAAACAGAUUUUGUGAUGUGUAUGAAAGAGUAAAUCUUGAUAUGUAAAUUUAUUAUGUACUUACAUUUAAGGGUUGUGUAAUACAUUUUUUUUUGAGGAAAUAUUAAAAGGACUACCAAAGAACAAUAUAAAGUUUAUUUAACUUAUCUUCAAAAAAAUAAACAUACUUUACAAAUACCUAAAGAAGAUUUCCAAGUGAUGUGUCUGGAACUGAACUCCAUUGAUGGACCAAAAAAGACUAUUCAUGAAUGGCAGCAGACAUUUUAUGAAUGGAGUAGUCGAACAAAAAAAAGCUCGAGAUAAUUUAAGAUACAUGAUGGAGACUGGAGGAGGACCUGGACUUGACAAUUAUUUAAAUGACAUCGAAGAAUUACUGAUAAGCAUACUGAAGUGGGUUACAAUCAAUGGCAUGAAUGUAAGUGAACUAGGCGUUUAUAAGUCUAAGACUGUGUGUAGCAAAGUAAGGAAAGAGAUGCAUCAAAAGAAAAUGACUAUUUCUGUGGCACCAAAUACAAGAAAACGACCUAGACUUCUUCAGAAGCGUAUUAUGCAUACUUUUGAUCUUAAACAAAAGUUGUAUUUGCAAUCCAUCAAGGAAUUAAGAACUGCCAUUAUAAAUUUGUUUACUUCCAUUGAUAGACUGCAACUGGUGGGCUGUAAUGCAAAACUCGGUGUUUAAGGAGACACCGAAAUCUUGUUUUAAGAACUCCGUUCAACCUUUCGAUCACAUUUCUUACACUUCUAUGUGCAAUAUUAUAAGCACG